rnacentral:rRNA from 1 species
UGAGGGAAUAUUUGGGGACAAUGGAGGCAACUCUGAUCCAGCCAUGCCGCGUGAAGGACUAAGGCCCUAUGGGCUGUAAACUUCUUUAGACGCAGAGCAAUAAGGGCCACGUGUGGUCCGAUGAGAGUAUGCGUAGAAUAAGCAUCGGCUAACUCCGUGCCAGCAGCCGCGGUAAUACGGGGGAUGCGAGCGUUAUCCGGAUUCAUUGGGUUUAAAGGUGCGUAGGCGGCUUUGCAAGUCAGCGGUGAAAGGCCCGGGCUCAACCCGGAAAGUGCCGUUGAUACUGUGGGACGU